GUGAAUUACUUCACAAACACAAAUACCCCUUUGUUGAACGUGAAAAUUUCUCCCAUCCCCUUGAUGUAAAAUAUUACAUCAAAAAAAUGACCUAGCGAAAGCUAGGUCUUUUUUU
rnacentral:sRNA from 19 species